rnacentral:rRNA from 1 species
GAUUAAGUUAUUAAGGGCGCACGGUGGAUGCCUUGGCACUAGAAGCCGAUGAAGGACGUUACUAACGACGAUAUGCUUUGGGGAGCUGUAAGUAAGCUUUGAUCCAGAGAUUUCCGAAUGGGGAAACCCAGCAUGAGUUAUGUCAUGUUAUCGAUAUGUGAAUACAUAGCAUAUCAGAAGGCACACCCGGAGAACUGAAACAUCUUAGUACCCGGAGGAAGAGAAAGAAAAUUCGAUUCCCUUAGUAGCGGCGAGCGAAACGGGAAGAGCCCAAACCAACAAGCUUGCUUGUUGGGGUUGUAGGACACUCUAUACGGAGUUACAAAGGACGACAUUAGACGAAUCAUCUGGAAAGAUGAAUCAAAGAAGGUAAUAAUCCUGUAGUCGAAAAUGUUGUCUCUCUUGAGUGGAUCCUGAGUACGACGGAGCACGUGAAAUUCCGUCGGAAUCUGGGAGGACCAUCUCCUAAGGCUAAAUACUCUCUAGUGACCGAUAGUGAACCAGUACCGUGAGGGAAAGGUGAAAAGCACCCCGGAAGGGGAGUGAAAUAGAACCUGAAACCGUGUGCUUACAAGUAGUCAGAGCCCGUUAAUGGGUGAUGGCGUGCCUUUUGUAGAAUGAACCGGCGAGUUACGAUUUGAUGCAAGGUUAAGCAGUAAAUGUGGAGCCGUAGCGAAAGCGAGUCUGAAUAGGGCGUUUAGUAUUUGGUCGUAGACCCGAAACCAGGUGAUCUACCCUUGGUCAGGUUGAAGUUCAGGUAACACUGAAUGGAGGACCGAACCGACUUACGUUGAAAAGUGAGCGGAUGAACUGAGGGUAGCGGAGAAAUUCCAAUCGAACCUGGAGAUAGCUGGUUCUCUCCGAAAUAGCUUUAGGGCUAGCCUCAAGUGAUGAUUAUUGGAGGUAGAGCACUGUUUGGACGAGGGGCCCCUCUCGGGUUACCGAAUUCAGACAAACUCCGAAUGCCAAUUAAUUUAACUUGGGAGUCAGAACAUGGGUGAUAAGGUCCGUGUUCGAAAGGGAAACAGCCCAGACCACCAGCUAAGGUCCCAAAAUAUAUGUUAAGUGGAAAAGGAUGUGGCGUUGCCCAGACAACUAGGAUGUUGGCUUAGAAGCAGCCAUCAUUUAAAGAGUGCGUAAUAGCUCACUAGUCGAG